AUACAGAGGGUGCAAGCGUUAAUCGGAAUUACUGGGCGUAAAGCGCGCGUAGGCGGUUUAAUCAGUCGGAUGUGAAAGCCCCGGGCUCAACCUGGGAACUGCAUUCGAUACUGUUAAGCUAGAGUAUGGUAGAGGGAAGUGGAAUUCCAGGUGUAGCGGUGAAAUGCGUAGAUAUCUGGAGGAACAUCAGUGGCGAAGGCGACUCCCUGGACUCGAACUGACGCUGAGGUACGAAAGCGUGGGUAGCAAACGGGAUUAGAAACCCUAGUAGUCC
rnacentral:rRNA from 1 species